rnacentral:rRNA from 1 species
UAAUACGGAGGGUGCGAGCGUUAAUCGGAAUUACUGGGCGUAAAGCGCGUGUAGGCGGUUUGAUAAGUCGGAUGUGAAAUCCCUGGGCUUAACCUAGGAAUGGCAUUCGAUACUGUCGGGCUAGAGUAGGACAGAGGAGGGGGGAAUUCCGCGUGUAGCAGUGAAAUGCGUAGAUAUGCGGAGGAACACCGAUGGCGAAGGCACCUCUCUGGGUCCAUACUGACGCUGAGAUGCGAAAGCGUGGGGAGCGAACAGGAUUAGAUACCCUGGUAGUCCACGCCCUAAACGAUGUACGCUUGGCGUCGGGAUUUUUAUCUCGGUGCCGGAGGUAACCCGUUAAGCGUACCACCUGGGGAGUACGGUCGCAAGGCUG